rnacentral:rRNA from 1 species
CCUACGGGCGGCAGCAGUGGGGAAUAUUGCACAAUGGGCGAAAGCCUGAUGCAGCAACGCCGCGUGAAGGAAGACGGUUUUCGUAUUGUAAACUUCUAUCAACAGGGAAGAAAUAAUUGACGGUACCUAAAUAAGAAGCCCCGGCGAACUAAGGGCCAGCUGCCGCGGUAAUACGUAGGGGGCAAGCGUGAGCCGGAAUUACUGGGUGUAAAGGGAGAGGAGGCGGCAAGGUAAGCGAUAUGUGAAAGCCUUAGGCUUAACCAAAGGAUUGCAUAAGGAACUAUCGAGCGAGAGUGCAGGAGAGGAAAGCGGAAUUCCUAGUGUAGCGGUGAAAUGCGUAGAUAUUAGGAGGAACACCAGUGGCGAAGGCGGCUUUCUGGACUGAAACUGACGCUGAGGCUCGAAAGCGUGGGGAGCGAACAGGAUUAGAUACCCCGGUAGUU